rnacentral:rRNA from 1 species
AGCGAACGCUGGCGGCAGGCUUAGCACAUGCAAGUCGAGCGCCCCGCCAGGGGAGCGGCAGACGGGAGAGUAACACGUGGGAACAUACCUUUUGGUUCGGAACAACUGAGGGAAACUUCAGCUAAUACCGGAUAAGCCCUUACGGGGAAAGAUUUAUCGCCGAAAGAUUGGCCCGCGUCUGAUUAGCUAGUUGGUGAGGUAACGGCUCACCAAGGCGACGAUCAGUAGCUGGUCUGAGAGGAUGAUCAGCCUCACUGGGACUGAGACACGGCCCAGACUCCUACGGGAGGCAGCAGUGGGGAAUAUUGGACAAUGGGGGCAACCCUGAUCCAGCCAUGCCGCGUGAGUGAUGAAGGCCUUAGGGUUGUAAAGCUCUUUUGCCCGGGAAGAUAAUGACGGUACCGGGAGAAUAAGCCCCGGCUAACUUCGUG